rnacentral:miRNA from 1 species
UCGUGGCCUGGUCCCCACUAU